CCUACGGGAGGCAGCAGUAGGGAAUAUUGGACAAUGGACGCAAGUCUGAUCCAGCCAUCCCGCGUGAAGGAUUAAGGCCCUAUGGGUUGUAAACUUCUUUUCUUUGGGAAUAAAAAAGCGGUAUUCAUAUCGCCUUGAAGGUACCAGAGGAAUAAGCACCGGCUAACUCCGUGCCAGCAGCCGCGGUAAUACGGAGGGUGCAAGCGUUAUCCGGAUUCACUGGGUUUAAAGGGUGCGUAGGUGGCUUUGUAAGUCAGCGGUGAAAGCCUGGAGCUCAACUCCAGAAUUGCCAUUGAUACUGCAGAGCUUGAAUCAGGUUGAGGUGGAUGGAAUAUUACAUGUAGCGGUGAAAUGCUUAGAUAUGUAAUAGAACACCGAUUGCGAAGGCAGUUCACUAAAGCUUGUAUUGACACUGAGGCACGAAAGCGUGGGGAUCAAACAGGAUUAGAUACCCUGGUAGUCCACGCCCUAAACGAUGNAAACUCGACAUUAGCGAUAUACAGUUAUGUCCAAGCGAAAGCGUUAAAGUUUGCCACCUGGGAAGUACGACCGCAAGUUGAAACUUCAAANAGAGNGNGNGNGAGAGNGACGAGACGACACGAGGAGGAG
rnacentral:rRNA from 1 species